rnacentral:lncRNA from 1 species
CUCACCCACCUGAUGCUCUUUCACCACUUCGCUGAGACAGGGAUACCGCUCUGAGAUCCAUCUGUAAAACUUGGGGACUCCCAUUUCGAUCGUCAACACUAAUCCCAGUCAGGGCCAAACCGAAACCAAACGCCCCGCCGGGGCUCCGCCGCAGCCUCCGGUCGUCGCUCCGCGGAUGACAACACACACCCUUUUCUUUAUAUAGUUUGGUCAGAAUAGGUCUCAAACCAGCAGUGUUGUUCACCCAUUCAAUAAUCCCACAUUCAUCAUUUAGUGGAAUAACUGCAUAUGUUCGAAUAUGAAGUUCUCUUCUACGAGACUCUGCAUCUUUUCUUAAGCA